rnacentral:rRNA from 1 species
AACGAACGCUGGCGGCAGGCCUAACACAUGCAAGUCGAACGCGAAAGGGCCUUCGGGCCCGAGUAGAGUGGCGGACGGGUGAGUAACGCGUGGGAAUCUACCUUGGAGCGGGGGACAACCCGGGGAAACCCGGGCUAAUACCGCAUACGUCCUAAGGGAGAAAGAGGGCCUCUGCCUGCAAGCUCUCACUCCAAGAUGAGCCCGCGUCCGAUUAGCUAGUUGGUGGGGUAAUGGCUCACCAAGGCGACGAUCCGUAGCUGGUCUGAGAGGAUGACCAGCCACACUGGGACUGAGACACGGCCCAGACUCCUACGGGAGGCUG